GCGGCCGCUCCGUUUGUUCCCGGCGGAGGUCACUGCUAUCGGUGUUCGAUUAAGCCAUGCGAGUCGAGAGGUGUUAUGGCCUCGGCGGACUGCUCAGUAACACGUGGAUAACCUACCCAAUAGUUUGGGAUAACCCCGGGAAACUGGGGAUAAUACCGGAUAGAUCAUCUUUGCUGGAAGGCUUGGUGGUUGAAACUCUUCGGGGCUGUUGGAUGGGUCUGCGGCUGAUUAGGUUGUUGCCGGUGUAAURUACCGUCAAGCCUGUAAUCAGUACGGGUUGUGGGAGCAAGAGCCCGGAGAUGGAUUCUGAGACACGAAUGCCAGGCSCUACGGGGCGCAGCAGGCGCGAAAGCUCUACAAUGCAGGCAACUGCGAUAGGGGAACAUCGAGUGAUCCUCAUAUUGGGGGUCUGUCCACCCGUCUAAAAAACGGGUGUUAGCAAGGGUCGGGCAAGACCGGUGCCAGCCGCCGCGGUAAUACCGGCGGCUCGAGUGGUGGCCGAUAUUAUUGAGUCUAAAGGGUCCGUAGCCGGCUUUGCAAGUCUCUCGGGAAAUCCAGCGGCUUAACCGUUGAUCGUCCGGGGGUACUAGCAUUGCUUGGGACUGGGAGAGGUAGGAGGUACUCAGGGGGGUAGGUGUGGAAUCCUGCAAUCCUUUGGGGACCACCGGCGGCGAAGGCGUCCUACCAGAACAGGUCCGACGGUGGGGGACAAAAGCUAGGGGCACGAACCGGAUUAGAUACCCGGGUAGUCCUAGCCGUAGACGAUGCUCGCUAGGUGUCACAACAGUCGUGAACUGUUGUGGUGCCGUAGGGAAGCCGUGAAGCGAGCCACUUGGGAAGUACGACCGCAAGGUUGAAACUCAAAGGAAUUGGCGGGGAGCACCACAACGGGUGGAGCUGCGGUUUAAUUGGACUCAACGCCGGGAAGCUUACCGGGAUCGACAGUUGUAUGAAGGCCAGGCUGAAGACCUUGCCGGACUAUCUGAGAGGAGGUGCAUGGCCGCCGUCAGUUCGUACCGUGAGGCGUCCUGUUAAGUCAGGCAACGAGCGAGACCC
rnacentral:rRNA from 1 species